rnacentral:rRNA from 1 species
GAUGAACGCUGGCGGCGUGCUUAACACAUGCAAGUCGAACGGGAAACCUUUUAUUGAAGCUUCGGCAGAUUUAGCUGGUUUCUAGUGGCGGACGGGUGAGUAACGCGUGGGUAACCUGCCUUAUACAGGGGGAUAACAACCAGAAAUGGUUGCUAAUACCGCAUAAGCGCACAGGACCGCAUGGUCCGGUGUGAAAAACUCCGGUGGUAUAAGAUGGACCCGCGUUGGAUUAGCUAGGUGGCAGGGUAACGGCCUACCAAGGCGACGAUCCAUAGCCGGCCUGGGAGGGGGGACGGCCACAUUUGGGCUGAGACACGGACCAGACUCCUACGGGAGGCAGCAGUGGGGAAUAUUGCACAAUGGGGGAAACCCUGAUGCAGCGACGCCGCGUGAAGGAAGAAGUAUCUCGGUAUGUAAACUUCUAUCAGCAGGGAAGAUAGUGACGGUACCUGACUAAGAAGCCCCGGCUAACUACGUG